UACGGAGGGGGGCUAGCGUUGUUCGGAAUUACUGGGCGUAAAGCGCGCGUAGGCGGCUUUGUAAGUUAGAGGUGAAAGCCCGGAGCUUAACUCCGGAACUGCCUUUAAGACUGCAUCGCUAGAAUCGUGGAGAGGUGAGUGGAAUUCCGAGUGUAGAGGUGAAAUUCGUAGAUAUUCGGAAGAACACCAGUGGCGAAGGCGACUCACUGGACACGUAUUGACGCUGAGGUGCGAAAGCGUGGGGAGCAAACGGG
rnacentral:rRNA from 1 species